GAUCGAAGCUUGUCGGAAUCGGUUCGUUACACGACUGUAAAACAUCAUUGAAAUAUGUGAUACGCCAGAAGAACGCCAUUAUUGCGCGAAACUGAAAGACAACUGGUCGGUCGCGAAGAAAAGCACAAAGACAUUCAAAUUGUGAUUGUUCUUGGCUGCUGAUUCUACGGCGCACGCUUGUCGAGGAGUGAGAUAAGGCGGUGAACAAUUGGUGUUAUGAAAGAAUAUGCAUCGGCUUGGUAUUAGCAUUUCUUCAUCUAGGAAUUACAGAAGAGCAGGUGGACGGAAGGAAGAUCCUGGAAGGAUUAAUUGAUGACUCGGGACGAGGCGAACACUCGGUUGUUUCGCUCAUGUAAGGUAGUGAUUAAGAUGGCUUGCGAACUCGAUGUUGGUUUACAAGAUUUAGUGAUAUAGCAGUGAUAAUAACAUUGACAAACGUAACAUUGAAAUGGAAAAAAGUGGCGAUGGAUUGCUUUUUCGUGCUGAGAGAAAUAAUGGUGCCGAUGAAACAGCUAUGGACAUUGUUGACGAAAGAGUAGCUAUUUUAGAUGCAGGUGCACAAUAUGGAAAAGUGAUAGAUCGAAAAAUUCGUGAAUUAAAUAUCCAUAGUGAAAUUCUGCCACUUGAUACACCAGCAUUUACUCUUCAAGAAAAAGGAUACAAAGCUAUUAUAAUUUCUGGGGGUCCUAGUUCAGUAUAUGCAGAAGAUGCACCCAGAUAUGAUGCCGAUAUCUUCCGAAUAGGAAUUCCUGUACUAGGUAUUUGUUAUGGAAUGCAAAUGAUGAACAAAGAAUUUGGCGGUACUGUAACCAGAAGGGAAAGUCGAGAAGACGGUCAAUUUCCCAUUGAAGUUGAUACCAAGUGCCUAUUAUUUAAGGGCUUGGAUAAGGAACAAAUGGUACUGCUAACGCACGGAGAUAGCAUAGACAGGGUAGCUGAUUGUUUUCGUACUACUGCCAGAUCGUCAAGCUUUAUAGCGGCUAUAGCGAGUGAUAAGAUGAAUUUGUAUGGCGUACAAUUUCAUCCAGAAGUGGAUCUGACGCCUAACGGAAAAUCGAUGUUACAUAACUUUUUAUUCGGUAUCGCUGGCCUUACGGGCAAUUAUACGCUCCGCGAUCGGGAGGCUCAAUGUAUACAAUAUAUCAGAAAUACUGUAGGCGAUAAAAAGGUUUUGUUAUUGGUGAGCGGUGGUGUGGACUCGACGGUAUGCGCGGCUCUGUUACAAAAGGCUUUAAAUAAGGAGCAAGUUAUAGCCCUACAUAUUAAUAAUGGCUUCAUGCGUAAGGGAGAAACGCAAUUCGUUGAACAAUGUCUAGCCCAAUUGUGCGUGACGUUAAGAGUGGUGAAUGCUGGCCGUUAUUUCAUGCAAGGCACCACGACUGUCCCGUUAGACAAUGUUGCGCCCAUGAUGAAUGCUAAUAUUACGAAUAAUAAAGGAGUAUGUGGUGCGACGAGUAGCCCAAGAACCAGGUUAACCAAGAUGUUAUGCGAAACUACUAAUCCAGAAGAGAAACGAAAAAUAAUAGGAGACGUUUUUGUAAGAGUCGCGAACGAGGCGAUGGCGGAGAUGGGAUUGAAACCGGAAGAUGUUUUCCUCGGGCAAGGCACUCUUAGGCCCGAUCUUAUAGAAAGUGCAAGCAUCUUAGUCAGUGGUAAAGCGGAUGCCAUAAAGACGCACCAUAACGACAGCGAGCUUGUACGAGUACUAAGAGCGCAAGGACAUGUAGUCGAACCAUUGAAAGAUUUUCACAAGGAUGAAGUGAGACAAUUGGGAUGCGAUCUCGGAUUGCCGGCAGCGCUCGUCGCACGUCAUCCGUUUCCCGGCCCUGGACUUGCAGUACGAAUCUUAUGCGCGGAUGAACCUUACAUAGAAAAGGAUUUCUCCGAAACACAGGUCAUAGUAAAAAUAAUGGCAGAGUACGAGCAGAUGCUUCAGAAGAAACACGCAUUGCUCAAUCGAGUGGAAGGCGCGACGACCGAAGCCGAACGUCAACAACUCCGCAGAGUCUCGAGUCAUCGUCAUAUCGCAGCAACUCUCCUACCCAUCCGCAGCGUAGGAGUUCAGGGUGACCGAAGAAGUUACAGUUACGUGGUAGGCUUGUCGUGCGAAGAGACAGUUUCCGAGGGAGUGGAGUGGGAAGAUAUGUUGUUCCUCGCGAAGCUAAUCCCGCGUGUGUGUCACAACGUAAAUCGUGUGUGCUAUAUCUUUGGACCACAGCUUCAUCAUCCAAUCCAAGAUAUCACGCCCACAUAUCUCACCUCCAAUGUGAUAGCAACUCUGCGACAGGCGGACCACUUGGCUAAUCAAGUAUUAACUUCGAAUGGCUGUAUGGGGGCCAUCAACCAAAUGCCCAUUGUUCUGAUCCCAAUACAUUUCGAUCGCGAUGCGGCAUGCCGAACGUUAUCUUGUCAACGUUCUGUUGUGCUCAGGCCGUUCUGUACUAAUGAUUUUAUGACCGGCACACCCGCCAUUCCCGGCAAAGAUUUGCCGAUACACGUGGUGAAAAAAAUAGUGACUGAAAUAUCCACGGUGCCCGGUAUUUCACGUGUUUUAUAUGAUCUAUCGUCUAAACCGCCGGGAACUACUGAAUGGGAGUAGUGAACGCUCAUCUGGUCCCUUUCUAUUUUUUCACCAUCCCUGCGCGCGUAACGACAAAGUGAAAAAAGUAUAUAUAUAAAAAAAAAUAUAUAUAUAUAAUAUUAUGAGAGAUACACGAAUUCGAGAUUAAUGACUUCUUACUAAUUUAUACAAGACCUUCGAGCAAACUUUUUCAAAGGUAUGCAUUAAACGAGUCGUGUAUUAUUAGCUUCUCUAGACAAAGAAUGUCAUUUGCGUUCGAUUAAAAACUUAUAGGUAAGUAUAUUAUAUAUGUUUGCUUGUAAAUAGGUUUCUUAUAUUUACUACACUUUGAUUAUAUAGAAGAUUUAAUUUAUUAAAUUUCCAAGAUUUCAAAUUCACAAUCACCGUUAUUACAUCUCGAAUCAUUACAUCUGAUCGACGGUACCAUUAAAUUGUUAUUGUAUUCUAUUUGCAUAUAACGUUGAACAUGCUUCACGGUUCUCCUAUAUGUCUUAUGCCAAGUACAGUCGUCAUUUUUUGUUAUACAUCUGCAAUAUGAACAUAAGAAGCCUUAUUAUUUAUUAUCCAUCUACGUUGUACAAAAUGGAAAACGUUUACAUAAUACGAACAUACAUCUGAACAUAGAAAUAAAUUACCUGUGCAUGGUU
rnacentral:misc_RNA from 1 species